AAUGGAAACAUGACUUAGGGACAGC
rnacentral:piRNA from 1 species